rnacentral:lncRNA from 1 species
CUGUUCGGUCAGCAUAUGCCCUACUGUUGGGGAGAGAGGACCCAAAUCUCAGUGUUAAGUUUACCAGAUCCCAUAAUGUGGAUGUCACCAGUGGCUGGGCAAUCUUGUGUCUGGAAACCAAGGUCUCCUGAGGCCAGGAAACAGUCCAAGAGCAGUUUCUUAAGGACAUGCAACAUAGACAAAUGCCCAAGAGAAAGCAUGGAACCUGAGCUGGCCCUCAGAUGGAAGGUGGAUCCAUUACUGAUCACAGUGGAAUGCCCCUGGAAGCCAAAUGGGACUCUGUGGGGCCCUUCUAGGUACAAAACCUAUCUCUGUCCCCUGUUUGUUGUUUCCAGAAAAUAGACAUCACUCAGCCUCCUAGACCUUCUUUGAGUACCAAAGUAUAGAUUCAAACAGUUGCAAAUUGGGGAGGGAGGGAGUGAAUGCAGAAACAAAGGAAAGUAACAACAGUGCCCCGAUUAAAGAAGGGUCCUGAUUCCCUCUCAAGGAAUGUACAUAGCAAUAUCCUUAGUUCUUCUGCUCGAACCAUGGACUCCAUCUAGGCUGAGGAUGGCAACUUCAGGCUGAACACAGGAUUUCUGGAGUACCAUCGGCUACCUCACCACCAACCCAUCAGAAGAAAGAUAUGCAUUCUGCAACCCUCAUCUCAAAUGGUGACUAAAAAAUUUUCUCCCUGAAAACUGUCCAGGAGCUCAGGUUUCUGGAGCAUGAGCCACCCAUUCUCCUUGCUUGGCCCUGCAAUAAACCUUUCUGUGCUCCAG